rnacentral:rRNA from 1 species
AGGGAAUCUUCCGCAAUGGACGAAAGUCUGACGGAGCAACGCCGCGUGAGUGAAGAAGGCCUUCGGGUCGUAAAACUCUGUUGCCGGGGAAGAACAAGUGCCGUUCGAACAGGGCGGCGCCUUGACGGUACCCGGCCAGAAAGCCACGGCUAACUACGUGCCAGCAGCCGCGGUAAUACGUAGGUGGCAAGCGUUGUCCGGAAUUAUUGGGCGUAAAGCGCGCGCAGGCGGCUUCUUAAGGCUGAUGUGAAAUCUUGCGGCUCAACCGCAAGCGGUCAUUGGAAACUGGAAGACGUGAGUGCAGAAGAGGAGAGUGGAAUUCCACGUGUAGCGGUGAAAUGCGUAGAGAUGUGGAGGAACACCAGUGGCGAAGGCGACUCUCUGGGCUGUAACUGACGCUGAGGCGCGAAAGCGUGGGGAGCAAAC